rnacentral:rRNA from 1 species
CCUACGGGUGGCUGCAGUCGAGAAUCAUUCACAAUGGGGGAAACCCUGAUGGUGCGACGCCGCGUGAGUGAAGAAGUAAUUCGUUAUGUAAAGCUCUAUCAGCAGGGAAGAAAAUGACGGUACCUGAGUAAGAAGCCCCGGCUAACUACGUGCCAGCAGCCGCGGUAAUACGUAGGGGGCAAGCGUUAUCCGGAUUUACUGGGUGUAAAGGGAGCGUAGACGGCAGUGCAAGUCUGGAGUGAAAGGCGGGGGCUCAACCCCCGGACUGCUCUGGAAACUGUACGGCUGGAGUGCAGGAGAGGUAAGUGGAAGUCCUAGUGGAGCGGUGAAAUGCGUAGAUAUUAGGAGGAACACCAGUGGCGAAGGCGGCUUACUGGACUGUAACUGACGUUGAGGCUCGAAAGCGUGGGUAGCAAACAGGAUUAGAUACCCUUGUAGUC